UACAGAGGGGCUAGCGUUGUUCGGAAUUACUGGGCGUAAAGCGCGCGUAGGCGGCUUUGUAAGUUAGAGGUGAAAGCCCGGAGCUUAACUCCGGAACUGCCUUUAAGACUGCAUCGCUAGAAUCGUGGAGAGGUGAGUGGAAUUCCGAGUGUAGAGGUGAAAUCGUAGAUAUUCGGAAGAACACCAGUGGCGAAGGCGACUCACUGGACACGUAUUGACGCUGAGGUGGCGAAAGCGUGGGGAGCAAACAGG
rnacentral:rRNA from 1 species